UGAGUUGUUACAUGUUUGUUGAUAACUUUGUAAGUCUAGGAGGACCGUGAUUGAAGAGUAGAGUUGAAAUAUUAUAGUAACAGUAAUGUUCACAUUGUCACCUAGUGACUAAAGAAAUUAUGGUCAAUCAUCGUUAAAGUAAAUCUAAACGUGAGAAGUAUCAUUUUAAAGGGAAAAUGCCUAUUUAGUAUUAAUUCAAACCCCUUAUUUCUCAUUCUAAUGAUAAUCUUUUGCAUUAGCCCAUUCCAAUAUAAGGUAACCAUUUUUAUGCCCAAAUGCACAAAUCUUUACUAAAAUCUUAACAAACCAUAUUAUUUUAAGACUAUUUUGCCCCCACCUCUUCAACAUGAAAAGACUUGGCCGGAACCUCGGACUCCUGUCACCGGCCGCCGGACACCGGACUCCGGUCACCGACCGCCGGAUUCCGGUCACCGGAAUUUCCCCAACCGCCGGAUUCCGGUCACUGAAAUUUCCCCAACCGCCGGAUUUCGGUCACCGGAUUUUCCUCUGUAACCAGUUACUGACCCCCAAUAAUCAGUUACUGACCAGUUAAUGACCCAUAAUAACUAGUUACUAACCCCCAGUAACCAGUUACUGACCCCCAAUAACUUUUAGUUUUCAGUUACUGACACCCAGUAAUCACUUAGUUUUCAGUUACUGACCCCUAAUAAUUUUGGUUACUGACCGGAGAGGAGAGAACUGAGGAACCGGCCCGACGGUGAGCACCCACAUUUCUUCUCUGGGCACCCACCUUCCCCGACGGUGAGCACACCGGCCUCCUCCACCGACCCCGGCGCACGCCGGCAAGCAACGACCUUCCAGGGGAGUAGGAGAAGCGGUGAGGCAGCUUAGAGUUGGUUUCCAGGGCUGUGCGGUUGCGGGUGAUUUUGCGGAAGCAGACGAGGAGGAAGAGGAGGAGGGAGAAGGCGGUGGUGGCGGCGCCGGCGAGUGGGACGACGAGGUUGGGCUGCGGCAGAAGAGACGACGGCGACGGCGCCGGGGACCGGGUGAUUGGGCGCUGCAGAAGGUGGAUCGGGAAGAGAAGGUGGCCGGAGUUGCGGAAGCAUUCGAGGAGGAAGAAGAGGAGGGAGAAGGCGGUGGUGGCAGCGCUGGCGAGUGGGACGACGAGGUUGGGCUGCGACAGAAGAGACGACGGAGACGACGCCAGGGACCGGGUGAUUAGGCGCGGUAGAAGGUGGAUCGGGAAGAGAAGGUGGUCGGAGGAGAUGAAGUAGCGGUGCUUGUGUGGGCAGCUAGCGUCGGAGGAGGAGGAGGAAGAGGAGGAGGAGGAGGAGAGAGAGAGAGAGAGAGAGAGAGAGAGAGAGAGAGAGAGAGAGAGAGAGAGAGUAGAGAGAGAGAGAGAGAGNNNNNNNNNNNNNNNNNNNNAGAGAGAGAGAGAUAAGAAGAAGAAGAAGAAGAAGAAGAAGAAGAAAGAGAUAAAAACUGUGUGGAUUUAAUUAAACACAGGGUAAUAACGUCUUUUUCUCAAGAAUCAUUGGAAUGGGCACAAGGAUAAGACUUUAAUUGAAAUGGGUUUUAGUUUUUAAAUAUUUAGGCAUUAGGGCAUUUUCCCUAUUUUAAAAACAAGUUGUUUUAUUUUCUACCUUUAAAUUUAUAUCCAAUAAUGAUUGAUCAUGAUUUUCUUAGUCACUAGAUGAUCAUGUGAACACCAUGCAUCAUAGUAAAUACCCGGCUCAUUUUACUUCACUGUGUUAUCUCUCGACGUCCUAGUCACAUCAAGUGCUUUCAUUCUAUUGAGCAACUAUGCAUCUUGUUUUUGUUGAAUACUGGCAACACAAGUUACACAAAUAGGAUCGUCUAUCAGCAACAACCGAUUUUAUUACGGGACAGCUCAUGAUGUUCAUAUCGAUCUAUUAUGCGCCUUUGGGAUAAGGGCAAUGAAGAUAUGAUUGAGAUCCUACUAGUCCUUUAUGUUCUAGUAGGAAAAGUUUUAGUCUGCGUUGGUGAAUGGAAGCCCGGAGUUGCUCCACGUAUUGCUUGACGGUUCGCAAUAUUUUUUCCAUGACAUUUAAGAUUGCAUUUUGAUGUAACCGUACUCG
rnacentral:lncRNA from 1 species